CAAGGGCUGCAAUCCAAACAGCUGGUACCCAUCUUCUCUGCCUCCUAGCCUCCCAUGCAAAGUAGCGUGUGCGGGGUUAACAACCUAGUAAUAUGUUUCGUUAGCACUGAGUGGGUACAGUGAGAGAGAGGGCAGACGGGCCUUUGUGUUGAGGGUGAACCCACUAGUUCUCUGGGCUCUGAGUGACCCGGCAGUGUCUUGGUUCUGUUGGGUGUUGGCUCUGGUCUUCUGCACCGCGCUGGUGUGGGUUGUGUUUUUCUACUGUGCUCUGUGGGAACGUCGCACCAUUUCUAUCUGGGAUCCACUUCAAACAGAUUGUAACCCUGUGGAAUGCCAGCUAUCCAGGAUAAACAGAAGUGGCCCUGAAAACCAAGACCUGAACUGAG